CGGCGUGCCUAAUACAUGCAAGUCGAACGCACUCUCGUUUAGAUUGAAGGAGCUUGCUCUGAUUGAUAACAUUUGAGUGAGUGGCGGACGGGUGAGUAACACGUGGGUAACCUGCCCUAAAGUGGGGGAUAACAUUUGGAAACAGAUGCUAAUACCGCAUAAAACCUAACACCGCAUGGUGUAGGGUUGAAAGAUGGUUUCGGCUAUCACUUUAGGAUGGACCCGCGGUGCAUUAGUUAGUUGGUGAGGUAAAGGCUCACCAAGACCGUGAUGCAUAGCCGACCUGAGAGGGUAAUCGGCCACACUGGGACUGAGACACGGCCCAGACUCCUACGGGAGGCAGCAGUAGGGAAUCUUCCACAAUGGACGAAAGUCUGAUGGAGCAACGCCGCGUGAGUGAAGAAGGUUUUCGGAUCGUAAAACUCUGUUGUUGGAGAAGAAUGUAUCUGAUAGUAACUGAUCAGGUAGUGACGGUAUCCAACCAGAAAGCCACGGCUAACUACGUG
rnacentral:rRNA from 1 species